GCCGAUACUCGAUGUGUGUGUGUGUGUGUGUGGGCGCGUGUGCAACAUCGUCACGCUCCGUAUGUAUGCAUCGGAUACUCGUCCUCCAAUCGGGCGUCGAGUUGCAGCCAGUGACGUAUCGGGAUGAGAGCGUCGCCCUCUCCUCGUCCAUCUAGUCGAGAGGGGGGGGGGGACAGGGAUCCUUUUUUGGGACAACUUCGUCCUUUAUUCAACAAUGUGCCGCGUCAACGUGUGUUUCGCGUAUAAUUUCUCGCUUGUUUUACGCCUGCGCCUUUAUUGCGAUAUCGAAAUAUCGACCUAUCCCAAUAUCGGUCACGCUUAGCGGAGACAAUCUGCUGCGAUUCUUUGUCGGUUCUAAGUCUAAGAUUGUUAAUAAGCUGAGAACUGACGGAAUAUGGGAAGUUAAGAGAGGAACAAGAGGAAUUUCUGACAAUGAGAUCCCAAUCACAGCAGGAUACAAAUUCCCUAGUUUCCAAAUUUUCUUUCUAUCUUAAUU